CCUAAUUUCAACACUCACACAACCACACCAUCACCAUCACCAAACCCUACUUUCAACCUCUCGAGUUCUCUCUCCACUCACACACAAGAACUAUUCCUUUAGGUUGUUAUCACUCAACACUCUCACAAGUCACAACGACUAACCCUAAUUCUCUCAAGUCUCAACGACGACCAACGUCUCUUCUCUCUCCUACAAAUUUGUCUAUGCAUUUUCCAGAUUUGAGAGAUCUGGAAGGUUUUUUCCUUUCUUAUGUUAUCUUUAUGUUAUUCUAUGUUUUUGUGUGCUUUUUAUCUGCUAAUCAGUAAUUGUUUUAUAGAUUUAAUGUUUUAAAGCAUUGUUGAAAGAAAA